AAGAAGGAUGCAAAACCAGAAGUUUUCUCAAUAAUUUUGGCCACCACCAUAAUCUAUCAAAACCCAAGCCAAAAUCUUAUUGGACAAGUUCUAGAUAACAUUCAUCAUUUCAAUGUCCUCAUUCGGUUAAUUCUCGAGUACAAUAUGAAAUCCUCUGUACUCUAACCUGUGCCAUUACAACUUAUCUCAAAUUCACUUAUGAUUCCUAUUCACAUCAUCAUAUACUAGACCAUGUUCCUUCCAAAUUCACAAGCAUUUCUUCAGGAAAAGUAUCGAAUACUCAAGUACAAGAAUCCAAAACUAAGAAACUGUACAACUCAGGCCGCACGCUAGUACCAGAAUCGGUUGAUGUACGCUUGGGAGCAACCAAGUCAUAUAUUACACUUACCACUUUCAAACCAGUCCCACAGUCCGACAUCCUAAACGUUAGCCUAGGAUACACCACAGAGAUCUGAAGCCUAAACUCUGAUACCAACUGUGACAGCCCCACCUCCCCC
rnacentral:lncRNA from 1 species